AAAUAUGGUGACACUAGUAUGACAUACGGUUGAGAUGUAGAAGUACAUCGUCACUGAACAGGUGACUUAUCUGCUGAGCAUUCUGCUGUCAAGAGCUACUCACAAAGCAUGUGGGCAUAAGUAUCCCUCAGACCUGAGAUCAUCAUAGUGACUUGUAAGUAACUCACUGUGCUUUGAUGUCAGACUAUCUGGAUUUCUAAUGC
rnacentral:lncRNA from 1 species